UAGAAUUAUUAUUAAAACUUUAUGGAUUACUCAUAAAAAACAUACGGAUCCACCUCAUAACAAAUAUAUUUCUCAGAUAAUUCGAAUUGAUGGUAUUAUGACAAUAUUAUUGAAAAAGUUGUCCCCUUCACAAUGUUACCAACAUCUUAUCAAAAUUAUAAUGCCCUUGAAGAAGGGUAUAGCAAGCACAGAGGCAGCAACAAAGCAAAAGAUACUCCUACUCCAAGCCCCAACGUCGAGAGCCGGAAAAACAGCUGUGUAGCAAAACAAACGGACCGAAGAGAGCGCAAGUUAAGAGAGCGAUGGGGCGCUUUAUCAGUACAGUAAGCUCUGUGCGCAUGCGACAGGUGCUUAUGCUUAGCAGAACAGUGUUUCUUAUAAAUAAUAGCAUAGGAAAUAACAGAUGUCAUUAAACAUUUAAAAAAAGUGUCUAUAAAGUAGAAACAAGCUAGAGUAAUUUUAAUUUUAGUGAUCCCCAGUUUUAGCAUCAAAGCUGGUUUCUAAUGUAAAACUGAACAGGAUCUUAUCAGUACAGUGAGCACUUGAUCUACAAUCAAAAGAUAGUAUUUAGUUUGGUUUUUACUGUAUUAUACUCGCUGGUUUUUUUUUCUACAUUCCUCUCCCUGACCGAUCGGCCCCAAACGCUCACACACACGCACACAUCGAAAAGGGUUCACUGAAGGUCAGCUGGUCAGAGUUCAAGUGGCAGUGGGAAUGAGCGAACGAAACGCAGCGAUAAAGUAAAGUCAUAGAACGAACAACAUCAGCGACUUUACAACUUCGGAAGACCUCAAAAAGGGUCGAAUGCGGGGUGAGGAGAUGCGGUGGGUGGGCGGGGGGCGUAUCUGAUGGAUAACAAAGUGUAGGCGUGUUUUGUAACUGUAUUUGUAUACGGAGGCAUAUCUGUGUCGUCGCUGGCCAUUUGAUACUUUGGCCUCGUCACUCGUCAAUCAACACAAAAACAAAAACAAAAAAGGGGGUGAGGUGGGUGGUGGGUGCAGUGGGUGGAAGCGAGACAGGGCCAGAGUGGAGCAGACAUAUUGCAGUUGUUCGCGAUGCCGUGGUUGUUUUUGUUUUUGUUUUUGUUGUUGUUGUUGUUCUUGUUCCUGUUGUCUGGCGGUGUUGCGUUGCACUUUCCUAUUUGCCCAGUUGUUGUUCGAUUGAACUUCGCAACAAAACCAACAAACGGUCGAAUAGGAAACAUAUGCAUAUUAAUUGCCCAUAUCCCAUUAUUCUAAUGAAAAAAUCGCUGUUUUCUUUUGUUACACCGCUUCGAAAACGUUCGUUAUCGAAAGACAAUUUCCAAUGUAAAUCGAAAUCGAUUCGCCUCCAAACUGAACGACCUGAACAACCUCAAGAGUCGCACACGUCAAACGAAGGGAUCGCAUAUUGUGGACAGUAUUUCCAGUUUCGAAACGCCAAGCACCCAUUAAAAGAUGUUUCAUCUAUGAGAAAGGUUACCCAAAACCAAAUCUAGGUUUUGAUGAAAGCUAACUGGAUAAGUCAUUGUAGUUUUAGAUGAGGUAAUAUGAACUUGGUGUAUAAUGUAAUUUAAAAACAGCACUGGUUUUAAAUAAAACGACAUAUUUACUCUUUAUUUUAGCUUAUAAAAAGUUAUGCCGGUGUGAAAAUACUUGUUUAUUCACUUAUUCCCAGCUGGCGUUGACAUUUAUGGAGAUGAUUAUGUAGAAUAUAUAAACUUAACGCUUAUAUAUGUCAAAUAACAAUUCUUCUUUGAAAUCAGGAAAGUUUGAGGUACUUAUGGGCUUGUGGGCCAAAUGGUGUUACCCUGUGCCAGGGUAUAUUAAGAAGUAUAUGUACAUAAAUAUAUAGGUAUGGACGCGAUCGCAUUUAUGUAUAUAUAGCCAGGCUACAGAUGCGAGAUCCGCACACUUAACCCAAAACGAGACCAAAAAGGCGAACAGAGGCGACCGGGCCAUGACGGGAUCUCGGCGACGACCGACGAUGCGACCUGAGUUGGCGGCGAAAUAUUUUUAGAACUUUGCGACCGACGGCGACGGCGACGACAUCGGUUAAAGGGGCAUCGCGGAGGUGGCGGAGCAGGGACAGGGGCAGAGGCAGGGGGAAUGCGGGUUGGGGGCGGCAUGGGGGCAAAGGGGACAUGCAUAUAUUGUGGUACUUCGGUAUCUGUAUCUCUGGCAGCCGCAGCUCAGGUCUGUUAUUUUUUGCUCGUAUAUUUAUUUUUUGCAGGGCGCUCGGCGAGCGAGCGAGAGGUCAGAAGGUCUGUGAUCUUUUGCAAGUUCGCUUGAGCGCAAGAAAAAUUCUCCGAACUGCCAAGAAGAACAAAAGGCAGCCUGGCCCGUCCAAGUAUCUGUGAGAUACAUUUCUGCCGCUCAUAUGUAUACGUAUAUGUAUAUCUAUACUCACAAAUAUAUGUGUGAUAUAAGCAUCGCACAUUUUGGCCAGGCAAAAAGUCAAAUGACAGCAAAAUUUCGGUUAGAUAAAUAGGUAAAUAAAAGAUAUGUAUCUCUAUAUUCGACGAAUAUACUCAUACUAUAAAGUACCUCGGCGUAACAAUUUUCAAAUUGUUCUAUAAAUUAGUAAACCCAAUAAAGAUGUUUAUCAAAUUGGAUUAAUUAGUUUUAGUGCAUGUCAAACUUUCACGGGAACUGCAGUUUGCCAAUACCUAACCCGACUUGAUAUGUUUUUCAGCUUAGGCACAAGUGUUAGCCCACUGUUGUUUUUGACACAUUUCAGAUUGCACUAUUUGCCCAACUACUUGUCAACCACUUUUAUUGCACUUGUAAAGCAGCGAUAAAUCAUCGAUAUUCAGUUGGCUGAAACACACACUGUCAUUUAAGUUUCAAAGUAGAAAGGUGUUAUUAUUCGGAAUGCUAUGUGUGUAAUAAAUCUGUUUGGGUUCCUAAAUCACAUUCGUAUGAGCAGCAAAUGCAUUUCGUCUCAUAACGAUAUGAAUAAUUUUGUCAUACAUAAGCCGGGCAAGCAUAUAACUUUCGACAUCCACGCAGUACGUCAAUGAAUCAAAUAUCUGAAAACGUGUGUGAAAAAAGCUACAGGUCGAAGAAGGUACAUACAUAUACCUGGGGCCAGUUGACAACUCGAAGAGGGAGAUACCACAGAAUGCCGCCAGGUUGGCUGAUGAGGGGCAAGUCAAGGUGUGUUGAAGUAUUGCCAGUGUCUUUGGCCGUAUUUGUGUGGGACGAUCGCCAAACUUUGCCAAAUCGCAGGCCACAGAAAGAGAGGUGAAAUCGACAGAGACAGAGAUGGAUGCAGAUGCCGCUUUUGUGGCACAACAAAAUAAAGGAAAAAUACCACAGACAGUUCGACAGUUCAAACCAAUUGACUCGUUUGCCAACACGCGUCUCCAGAAAAAGCAACAACAACUAUCGCGCAGAACUUCCAACAUCCAAGAAAUUGGUAAAAGCUGCACUGCAUAUGAACAGAGACAAAUAUCGGGGAUAACAUGUUCUCAACCCGUCAGCAUCGCAGGCCAGUAAUCUGUCUUUUCGGUUUAUUUUAUUAGCUAUUGGGGAAGAUGGAAACGGGAUCGCUAAUGAGGUGAUGAAUGGAUAAAUCUAAAUCAAUUAGUUACGCAUGAUUUGUGGAUUAUUAAACUCUUCUGAUUAAUUA